rnacentral:lncRNA from 1 species
AGUAACCGAUCGGGAUGUCAUCGGGCUGCCGCCCCACUUUCUUGACGUGGGUUGACCGAUUUAUAUGUAACUGUGAAGGCCGAUUGAUCCCGUCACCGGGGGCCAGUCGAUUACCGCGUCCUCCGUGUACUACUACUUUUACCGCUAUGAACGCCUGUGAUUCGCUCUUAUCCUCUGCUCCAUUCACUUUGGCGGGGAGAUUAAUCUGACCGCCCGGUGUUUCAUAUGGAUCUAACGUGGGCGCGGGAGAGAGAGAGAGUAGAUUUUCUCUCUCCAUCGUCGUCUCCGAUGGUUUGAAAAAAGCAUCCUCUGUAAAUCCUAAUCCCUAGCCCCUGAGAGAGAGAGAGAGAGAGAGAGGCGAGGCGAGGCGAGCACAUCUCCGGCGAUCGGGCGUCGUCGAUCUAGGCCAUGGCUUGCUACUGCGGUGGCAACCAGCAUCACGGCCGGCAGCCUACCGGCGGCUGCUACUGCGUUUGCGCCUGCGUUUCUUCUGGCUUCCCUUCUGGUUGCCAUCCACCCAUCCCCAAUACGGCCCCGAAUGUGGCCAAUGAUCCGCUGCUCCUGGCCCUCGCAGCUCGGCUCCUCCAUCCCCCGCCGCCGGCAGUACCGCCGCCGCCUAGCUACCAGUUCUGCCAUGAGGAAUACCAGGGUUUCCAGUUCCCAUCUCAGCAGCGGGGGCAACAGAGGCGUGACCAUCAGCAUCAGUACCAGCAACAUCAACCCGAGCGACAGCAGCAGCGGCAGACACAAUCUCAGAGCCUCAUCCGGUCGCUGCUCCGACGCAUCGCCGCCCUCGAGACCGCAAUUCCCGGCGUGUCCUCUUCGCCACCUCCCGCUGAGAUGCAGGCGGCUUCUCCUCUCGGGCGUCCUGCGCCACGUCGGGCCUUGCUGCGCGAUCUGGCGGCGCGAACCAUCCAGGCAGCUUUCCGGCAGUACCUUGUCCGACGGUCACGGAUCCUCCGUGAGCUGAAGCACCUGGCCUCUAUCAGAUCCCAUCUCGCGGUCCUUCGAUCGUCUCUUUCGGACAAAGCGCGCAUCAGCCCGAAGGCUCUGUACCAGAGAGCGGCGGAUCUGCUCCUCCAGCUCGAUUCCAUCCGGGUAAAUGCUGAUCCAGAAUUUCGAGAGACGUAGGGAGGGUUCCAUUUUCGUUUGUCGGAUGUUUAUCGUGUUCUACUAUUCUGGAUUUUUCUCGCAGAGCGCGGAUGUGAUGAUCCGAGAGGGAAAGAAGCCGAUCAGCCGCGAACUGGCGCUGCUGCUCGAGUUUGCGGAAUCGUUAAUGGUGCAAAAGCGCGAGGCAGGCGUGGAGGCGAUGGAAGUCUCCACUCGGGGCAUCGAUCAGAGAACGUUCUCAGGAAAAGGGAGGGCGGGGGUCGAAGAUCUCCCGGAUCUGUUCGAGGUCCCGCUCGAGGAAGCUGAGGAAUCAGACGAGGGGAGCCCGGAUAUACGUGCCUCCACCACCAACACGGCGAAGAGGACAGCCUUUGAGGACGGUGCGAAGGGAUCUAGGGUUUCCACCGUUGCCGUGGAGUCGAUCAUCGAGGAAGAGAGAAGCCAAUUUAGCCCCGGUGGCGGUACGCCAAGAGGCGUGGGCGUGGUGUCACAGGACGAUGUAAUCAGGUGGAACUCCUACAGAUUCAUCCCGGACGAGGUCGCCGGAAGAGAUGACGGCGUCGGCAAUUUCUUUCGGAUCCCCGAUGACUUCGUGGAUGCGCCACGGCAAGGCGGCGGCGGCGGAGGGGGAGGAGGAUCUCGCCGCAUGAACGGCGGCGACGAGGGCCUCCGAGGCAGCCAGAACGGAAGGAUAAUCUUCCCCGGGACGAGCGGGUCUCCGGCGGACCAGAAGGACGGUCCUAGCUCGUCAGGUUUGUCUGCCCCCUUGCCUCUGCAGAUGGAGCCGAGGAAGGGCAACACGAAGAAGAAGACCGUGGCGGUCGUCUGACAGCUGAGGGCCCUCCUCCCCCUCCGUCCGGUCCCCUCAGCUUCCCUUCUGAUCAUGCCCUUCAGAUGUUCGUGGGUUUGCUCUCACCCCCCUUCUUCUUCCUCUUCCUCCUCUCUCAUUCUGGUUCUUCAAGUGACAUGCACCAUUCUUCUGGGCUGGGAGGCCUGGAGAGCGUCUGUACUCCAAUCGACGAUCCUUCAAAAUUUUCUGAUCCAAAUUCUGCGUUCUAUAACCACCUCUCCAGACCAAUCCAAUUAACAACCAGUGACCAGCUGGGCAGCUGGGUCUCCCUCUGACUUGGUUCUCUGAUCCUGAAUUAUUGCUAGGAUGACAUGACAACUUGAUCUCAAUCUCCGCCGGGACUGGUCUAGUCAACCGGAUGCCAAUUAUUGGAUUAGAAUCGCAUAUAAUCCCAGCGCUCUCAUAUAUAAAUUCAGACCAGAAUAGUGAACCCGGCUUCAUCUGAUUGGGAACCGGCAGAAUUCCCCUUUUCUUCCGUGAGUAUAAAGUCAACGGGAGCGCUGGGCGGGCUUUAUUGCUGUUCAAGCUUCCGAGACCGUUGACCGGAUUUAUCAGCUCCGAGGAGUCGUCCGGUGGGUGCGAACUGUUGUUGUUCUUCAUCAUGCUCGUAUAAAGAUCUGAUCCGCCUCCUCUUUAAGAUUGCCCUCCUCUCUCUCUCUCUCUCUCUCUCUCUCUCUCUCUCUCUCUCUCUCGCUAUCUAUCUAUCUCUAUCUGUAUCUCUAUCUCUCUUGUAUGUGUGUGAGGACAGAUGGGCAUUAUGAGGCAUAAGACCAGAUCAAAGCGUGAUUAUUCAUGAGACAAAAACGCACGGGGCGUCGAGUGGCGAAGGUGGGGUGGGGCGGCGCGAGUACGUCUUCAUCGGGUGGGCUCCACAAUACAUAAAAGAGACGUUAAUGCGGGACCGCCCUCUUCCCUGUGAUCACACGAUCUCGUUGACGUCGCAAGCUCUCGACGUUUAUCACCCCUCGUCCCCGUCCCUCUCCACCUCCAAGUUCAUAAAAACCUCCUCCCCACUCUCUCUCUUCCCCUCUCUCCUUCUCUCUCUCUCUCUACAGCUGUGGACUUGUCUGGUUUCUUCUCUUGCUAUUCUCUCGUCCGAGGGAGUGAGUCGAUGGGGGGCUCUCUGCGAGCGCUGGCCUUGGCGGGUCUGCUGCUGUCGGUGGCCGUGUGCGGGGAGAUGUCGCAAGCCUCGGCACAGGCGGAGUCCUGGUCCUCCGCCACCCUCCACCGCUGCCACCGCCACGCCCACCAGCGGAGGCCCACCUGGUGCAUCCGCCUCGCGCGGACCCCCGGCCGGCCGGCGCCGCCGCCGCCCCCGCCGCCCCCCGGCGAGGAGACCACCGUGUACGACGAGGAGAAGCGGCUCGUGCCCACCGGCCCAAAUCCUCUCCACAACUGAGCGGAGAUGCUGCCUCCCCUCCUUACCUGCUAAAUUUUUCUCUUCUUCCUCAACACUCCGCAGACGGUCUUCAUCGUCCUUUCUUGUUCUUUCUUUCCAUUUCUUGAUGUCUCCGUCUUCCCCCCCAGCCUUCCAGGGGGGGCGGAGCCGUCUAUCUGUGUAAUGGAAAGGAUCUACAAUGGAGGAUGUUUAGCUCGGAGCUUCUUCUUCUUCUUCUUCUCUGUGAUCUCCUCUUGAAAGUUUGGCAGUAGCUGUUCUACCUGCUCUGCGUGUUCAAACGAGUCCCGUGAGUCAAUAAAUUCGGUGGCUCGCGAUCAACCUCAAGGACCCGGCGGGGAGUCAGAUGGGUCUCUCCAUUUGUCUCUCUCUCUCUCUCUCUCUCUUUCUUUCUCCAACCUCAUCGGCGCCGCUCCGGCGGCUGUCGCCGUCGUCGCCGGCGGGAAGGGGUGCAUAGCCGUGGCUUCAAGCUGAAAUCCCCUAAAUGCCCAUGAGGCCGUCUAGGGGGGGCCGUGGCGACCUACGGGGUAGCCAACGAACCCUGUAUUCAUCUCCCAUCCCCAGGACGGCCACGCGGCGAUUUAAGUGGGCCUUUGUGGAAAGGACGGGAGACAGCAUAACCGCCGUGGUCUUCAUUUAUGAAGACAGGCCGCAGAGCACGAGAGCUCAAGAGAAGUCCAUGACUUCCUUAAUUCGAGGGGGACCGCCGUGGCGGGUUGGGCAACUCACCGUCCUCCACCGGCGGUGCCCGCGCGCUCCCCGGAUGAAACUAAAAGGCCCUCGUUCUUGCAGGAUUAUCCACCUCUAUACGGCAGCCAUGAAGAAAAAUAAACAGAGAGCAGAGCCCUGCAUGCUGAAAAUGGCAAUUUUUUCUUUCUUUUAUAGAGCUGUGAUGCUUACCUGGUGGUCGCCCGUUCAUCAAUAACGUGCAGGAAGCAAGGAAACGAGAUAUGGAAAAUAAAAAUAAAAAUGAGGAGACAGUACGAACCGUGGGCUCGGGGGGCUUCCACAGGGGCACGGAUCAUUUCCAAGCUCACCAUCAAUGGAGAUAAUCUUGGAAUCGCGAGCUUUGGGAGCUCAUCAGUGUGAAGUAAAAACCAGCAAGGCAGCUGAAAAUCACAUCUUCCAUGAGGCUUCCCAAUAAAAGGCCUCAGUCUCCUCUGCCACUAGCCAUCUUAUCAUCAGGCGCCUCGUAGAAGGCUAAGCUCCUCCAAGACCAUAAGGGAAUAGGUGAGUAGGAGAGGAAAAAGGGACGGGGUUAGCAAUCUAAUCUGCCUGACGCCUUUCCCACAGUGUGCUGCCGCUUAUUCACCAUCCCUCAGAAGCGAUCUUAGUGGUCUCCCUUUUUUCUUCCAUCUCCUCUGUUCACCUGCUGGUGAUCGGAUGCCAGACACCCUCAAGGAGGGCAAAGAAAAGACUUGGGAACAGAGAAAAAAUGGCAAGCACAACAUUUUAACCACGGCCACUCCCUUCUUCCUCAUAUUAUCCAUUCAUUCCCACUGCCCCUUCCACUGUCAACACCUCUUCGUUCCCCACUCACGCAUACCAGAUGAAACUGGUCCCAUGUAUGUUGAACAGGUUAACUUCAAACCACAUAUGGAGAAGACAUUGGCUAAGAUUUGUCCGAUUCCAGAGUGGUUGUCAAUUGAUUCAGACACAAACUAGUGAGAAUAGCUCAAAAAAAAAGUUAAUGAUGCCCAUAUGAAACAUACAAAUUUUCCUCCCUAACUCAGUUAAAACUUCAAUAAAUUGGUACUUGUCGCAUUAAAAUUAUGAAAAAUUCUGGCAACUUCACAAUGAACUGCAGAAUUAACACGAGAAGGUCCUAAAUUGUUUUACCUGAAGAAAGAAGUAACAUGUUGAAGAGGAUAUACCAGGGGCUCAGUUAAUGUUAUAACUAGAAGAUAAUGUGUCUGCAUUGUAUUGUUCUCUCCCUUGGUCUUUCGAUUUCCCACAGUGAUCCAUCUUGAACUUCUAUUUCAGAGCUAAAGGUGCUUUCAGAUCAAGAAGCACAUGCUUGAUGCUUGAUUCUCAGGAUUUAAAGCACAAGAAAAAUCAUGUGGGGUGUGUGGGGGGGUGUGGAUGAUCAUAGAUUAAUGGCCAUAAAGAUGUUAACUUUUGACAAAGUAGACAGGAGCAGCUCUUGUAGAGGGCCGGGGAAUAUCAAUGUAAUGUUGUGGGCAGCGUAUCAUCUUGAUUUGGAGUUUAAUUCAUGACAUUGGCUGGUACCAAAAACUAUAGCAUAGAAUAUUCCCAAUGCCUUUUGGACAACGUUAUGGAUUCAUGUAAUCGGCAUCAGAAUUAUAGAGUUGGUCAUCCUAAGCCAAAGAACUCAUGAGCUGCACAGCUUCCAGUUUUUUCCGGGAACAGCCAAAAAUCAAAUAGAAUGCUAUAGAUACGAGUGUUCUCAUGCCUACAAGCACGAUUUCAAUGGUAUCAGAAAUGCAGUUAGUUUCUAAAUUUUAAAAGAUUAAACAAAUGUCAGCAUAUGCGCCAUUAUUACAAAUAAUGCCUCCUCAGGGAGCAAAACGUACGCGCAAUUUGAAACAUAUAUAUACGAACAUGAAAAAUCUACAUCAAAGACUAUGCUCUACGGAAGCUUUCGCCAUCCCACGGAGGAAAACCAAAAAUCCCAGGAUCUAUCUCCUCGAACGGGAGCCACACAGCCGCCGUCAAGAGAAUGAGCAGGAAGCAUGGCCCAUCGAAGCCCCGUCCAAACGCAUCAAGAGGCGUUCAGCUCCAUGAUGCUCUUCACUUGAGGAGCGUAAAUCGAGUAUACCACCGCCUGACGCUUCGCAACCUCGAGUUGGGACCUACCCUCUGAGAAGGCCGAUGCGAUGGCGGAGGGGUCUGCAAGCCCCCGAUUCUCUCUGAAGCCGUCGAUCGUCCUCCGCCGGACGUACUCCCUGAUGUUGUAGUCGGAAAACUUGGCAGCCGUCCGGAGGAGCGAUCGGAGAAGCGAGAGAGCCUCCGCCCUCGACGGAGCCGAUCCCACCGCGCUAGCCAUUUCCGCGGCGCACCAGCAGCAGCAGCAGCAACAACAACGAAGAUGAACCUUCCAGAACGAUUCUCCAGCCGCCCUUUUACCCCCUUCCGAUCUUUUCUAAGAGGCGGCAGUCACAACAUACAACCUAGAAAAAUCGACACCGUCCGUUCUCCAACAAUCGGACGGUCGAGAUGCACUUUCACGGCAACAUUUCAAACACGGCGAGGGAGAGAGCCCGCAAGGGAGUGAUGCGGGGGAGUCUCGGAGCUCCCGGUGAGCGAAGGCGCGGUGUCGACUGAGUAGCGCACUCGAGCUCGGUGCUGGGGAUGUCUUCCCCCACAAGACCCACGCCGGCGGAUUUAGAAUCCCUGCUCCACAUCCCGGGCGGCGCCUGCUGGGAGACCGAGAAGAGAGAUGGUUGUCCCUGUUUGCCCCAAUCUGAUUUUGCUUUCAUCUUUCUUUUUGCUUCGCCGUUGAAUUGUUUCAGUGGUUUCGCGGAAAGUAUGCGUUGCAAUGGAUUCUCCUUAAUUCGAGCUCGAUCUUGGUGCUGUCUCGAGAAUUGUGGUUUGCUCUGUGGGAUCCCCCGUGAAUCUGGCUGGGGAUUGGGAAUCUUUCGUGCGAGAUGGAUAGCAUUAAUGACGAAUUAUCCCGGAGAACAUAGAAUUAUAUUACAGCGCUCAUCUCCCCUGGGUUGAAUACCCAUUUCUAGAAAUGCAUCAAACCCCUUUUUUCUUUGGAUCGAACAUGUUCAAACCUUUUUUCAUCAUUUUGACUGUUCAUGUGUGAUUAAACCUCCAGGAAUCAAUGCUCAUCCUGCCGCUUUGACGACAUCCAUUGGGCAUAAUCAUGUCGAGCGUGAGGGGGAGCCUUCGGCUACUGGAGAAAUGUAUAGAUAUGAGACAACUGAAGCAAGUUCAUGCCCAGGUAGUCUUGGGAGGGCUCGGAGGAGACCAGUUUGCCAUCAGCAGGAUCCUGGCUUUCUGCUCGGACCCGAGCAACGGCUGCAUCGCCCAUGCUCAGAUGGUUUUCCGGCAGACUGAGAGGCCAACGAUGUGCAUCUUCAACACGAUGAUGAAGACGCUCUUGCUGAAGGGAGAGUACACCAGGCUCGCAGAUGUUUAUAGUCAGAUGCUGCGUGAUGGCCUUCUCCCAGACAGCUACACAUUUCCUUACAUGCUCAAGGGAUGUGCCCACCUGCGAGAUUCUCCAACCGGAGAGCAAGUCCACGGCCACGCAUUACAACUCGGGUUUGACUUUGAUAUUUUUGUGGGAAACACCCUCGUACUCAUGUAUUCGGCGUGCGGUAAAAUGAAGGCAGCACACCAGAUGUUCGACCUGAUUCCUCAACGAAAUGGAGCUUCUUGGACGGUCCUGAUCUCCGCGUACUCCAAGCUGGGGGAAAUUGGCGCCGCCCGGGAGCUCUUCGAUCAGUCGCAGGUGAAGGACCGGGGAAUUUGGGGCUGCAUGAUUUCUGGGUACGUCCAGAAUAACUGUUUCAAAGAGGCCUUAUUCAUGUUCAGAGAAAUGCAACUGGCCGGCGUCAGACCAGACGAGGGCGUUCUGGUGAGCAUCCUCAGUGCUUGUGCCCAACUGGGGGCCCUAGAUCUCGGCACCUGGAUCCACCGCUAUCUGAAACGGGUUGGCUUUACGCCGGGCAUUCGCCUCUCCACUGCCCUCAUUGAUAUGUACCUCAAAUCCGGAGACUUAGCCCUUGCCGGCAAGCUGUUCGCCAAUAUGCCCCAAAGGGACGUCAUCUCCUGGAACGUGAUGAUCAUCGGUUUGGCGACCCACGGAGAUGGACUCAGGGCACUCGAGCUGUUCGCCCACAUGCAGAGAGAAGGAUUUUCCCCAGACGAGACCACCUUCCUCGCCGUCUUGUCUGCCUGUUCUCACUCGGGUUUGGUCUCAGAAGGCCUCCGGCAAUUCAGGAGCAUGAAGGCGGUGCACGGAAUCGAACCCAGGGGAGAGCACUACGGCUGCGUGGUGGACUUCCUCUCCCGUGCCGGGCUGUUCAACGAGGCCCGAGAGGUCAUCGCCAUGAUGCCCAGCUCGAGCAGCCCCUCGGAGAAGGCGGUGGCAUGGAGGGCCCUACUGAGCGGCUGCUGGCGGCACGGAGAAGAGCAGCUGGCAGAAGCCGCCGCCUCGCGUUUACUGCAGUUGGAGCAGCACAGUGGAGCGUACGUCCUCCUCUCGAACGUCUACAGGAGGAGCGGUCGGCACGGAGCCGCCGAGCGAGUGAAGAAGAUGAUGAGGGUUCGGGGAGUGGUCAAGACUCCAGGCUGCAGCUCCGUAGAGAUCGGCGGGUCUGUUCACGAGUUCAUCGCCGGUGAGAGCGUCCACAGGCAGAUGGGCCAAGUGUACGAGGCGUUGGACAGGAUGAGCCAUCACAUGGAAGAUCAUGGCACCAUGUGCCCAUUUGAUGAAAUAAUCGUUUGAAUAGAACACCUCAUCUUCAUCUCAUCGUCACCCUUCUUGACUCGGUGGGCCGAGCCUAAAAACGAUUCGAACUCGUAAAAAAAACCCUUAAUCGGAUUGAUGGAGGGCAAAGAAGCACGUCAGUAGAAAAUUCUAUUCAUUCCACACGCAGUGUAAAACCGUUGACCACACAUAAUGUGACAAGUCCACGGCUGAGAGGAGAUAACACAACANNNNNNNNNNNNNNNNNNNNNNNNNNNNNNNNNNNNNNNNNNNNNNNNNNNNNNNNNNNNNNNNNNNNNNNNNNNNNNNNNNNNNNNNNNNNNNNNNNNNNNNNNNNNNNNNNNNNNNNNNNNNNNNNNNNNNNNNNNNNNNNNNNNNNNNNNNNNNNNNNNNNNNNNNNNNNNNNNNNNNNNNNNNNNNNNNNNNNNNNNNNNACAAAUUCUUGCACAGUGACUAAACGAAAAAAACAAUUACAAUCCAGAAAAAUUGAUUCUGUUGGUAAAUUUCCACGUGUCAAUUUGUGAUGGAUGACCUAUUAGGAGGUAGUACAUCGCUCUGAUAAGAAACUAAUUCAAAGAGGAGUCAUUCUACUAUCGCGAAGUUUAAUUUACUGUCAGGCUAAUUUUAAACGAAAUUAAAUUUACUCAGGAGGAAGAUAUACUGGUUUUUGCUUGAAUACAAUGCUGGCACCUCAUCAUCAAUUUCAAGAUUUACAUAGAGACAAACUCCCCCAGCUAUAACACAAGUUAAGCCACAAAUCAGCUAAUUGAAUAACAUAUAUAUCCAUUGAAUAUUAAUUAUCAUGUUAUGCAGUUUAUAAUAAACACUUCGUCAGCAAAGCCACAAUAACCCUGGCAUCCUCCAAACCAGCUAUAUUGUAGUAAUGUAAGAAAAUAUUUUACAACCUUCACAUGAUCUCAUUCUGCAACUUUCACCAAGAAGUUAUCGAUUGUCAUUAUGGGAAGCUGGAUGUAACAUGCUUUCUGAAGCCUGCAUCGUUCUCUGGGUAUUCAGACCUCAAAAAAUUGUUUGUGCAGCAUGGUUAAUUAUCCAUGGCAAUGGUUAUCUAUAAUUUGACCGUUACAAGCCUUGACAUGAAGUUAGUCGCCUUUAACUAAAUACAACAUGCAAAAGACUUGACUAGAUAGAAAGUGUAUAUGUGACCACUCCACAUCGUUAAAUGAUGGUAUUCAAUUUCAAUUCCACGAAAAAUAUGAAGUACUUUACGAAAUAGGAAGUGUAAUUUAAUCUCUGAGACACAUUUGACCCUAAAAUGUGUUUUCUACUGGAAAGAGUUGACAUAAGAAUUUUGGCACUUGAUGUAACCGUGUUAUGCGGAAAUAUAGUACGUAAAAAAAUAUUAAGCAUUAUGGACUGCUGUGACAAGGAAAAUAAAACGCCAAAAAUCCCCCUAAUAGAGUGAGUAAUCAAAUCAGGAAGUGAAGGAAGGGAGGAAAUAAAGAAGAAUAAUUCGAACAUACCCCAUGUCCAUAUCAUCGUAGUCGUCGUCCGCCAUAUUGGUACCAAGACCCAAGUUGCCCCCCUAGAAACCCUAAAUCACAAUAGAAGAUUAGAAAAACCAUAUGAAGAAAUGCGUGUAGCUUUCGCAUAUGAAAGUAAAUAAAAAAAACUCCGAAACAUAUUACUGAUACAAUAUUACUCAGUAAAUCUAAUUUCCCACAGUAGUGCAAAAACUAAAGAAAAGAAAUCAAGGAAUGCGACUUGAACGGAUGGUGGAGGAAGAAGAAAUUGAAGAAAAAUGGGCAAAAGAGGAUGAAAAAGAAUCCCACCAGAGCGACCCCCUCACUUAAAGCACCAUUUUCCUAUCUGUCUCUCCGUCUCUCCAUUUCUCUCUCUUUGUAUUCUCAAUCUCCCUUUAUUCUUUUCCUCUCUCUCUCUCUCUAUCUAUCUAUCUAUCUAUCUUUCAUUCACUCACCCAAAUUUCUUUACAUUGCCCACCACUGAGCAUCUCUCCAUCUCGCCCCCCUUUGGAUUUCUCAGUGAAGAGGCUACUUAGUGCCAGCGAAGGCAACCAAGGCUGCUCUGAGACGACAAUCGCGUAAGGUCUCCCUCUUCUUGUAUGAGUGUGUUCAUCUUCUCAAUCUCUCUGCAUUUCUCUCCUCUCUUUCUUCAUGCCUUUUCACGUUGCUCGAAAGAGAGAGGGAGGAGACUGGGAAUAUAGGGAAAUAGAAAUGGAGAGACUAUUCACGUCGGCACCACAGACUCUUCACUCUAUAUUAGGGAUCAACGGUCACCAUCAUGGUCAGAUUUCCGGUUGUGACCUUAACUUGGACCUAAUUCAGUCCAGUCAUGGUUCGGGUGGAGCAUGAAAACCUUGACUUGACCUAUGCCCUAUCUAAAUCGAAAUGUGCAUAUUUCUACCUUUCUAUCUCUAAGAUAGUUGACUUCUUAGUUCAACAGAAAUCAAAGAUUCAAUCCAUAAAAACCUGAAAAAAUAGUUCAUUCAAAACGAACGAUUUUUUUCGUCAAAGAUUCAUGGUACAGAAGAGGAGACGACAUUCGAACCUGAGAGAGGAAGAGGUGGUUGAUUCCCCACUUCGUGAGGGAAUCGCGAGCCGCUGUAAAAGCUCCCUUGAUCCUGAUCAGAGUCACCACUGGAGGGAGGGAGGAUCAGGAAUUAACGACUAGACCAAAACCGGAUAAGAAGGAACGAGACAGAGAAAGAGAGCGAGGGAGAGAGCCCAGCAGAAGAAGAAGACACGGACCUUUGUGGCUGAGAGGUUAGAAGGCGAGGAGGUCCCUCCUACUGCCGAGGAAGCAGACGUGGAGACGCCUGCGGUGGAGGAGGAGCCUGCGGGGGUGGAGCAAGAGCUUGCAGCGGCAGAGGAGGAGCUUGUGGCGCCGGACGAGGAGCCUGCAGCGGAGAAGGAUCUGCGGCGGCGGAGGAGAAGCCCGAGGCGGCAAAAACCCUUUUUGUCUGAGAGAUAUAGAGGUCACGGUUUUU